AUUGAACGCUGGCGGCAGGCCUAACACAUGCAAGUCGAGCGGUAGAGAGAAGCUUGCUUCUCUUGAGAGCGGCGGACGGGUGAGUAAUGCCUAGGAAUCUGCCUAGUGGUGGGGGAUAACGUUCGGAAACGGACGCUAAUACCGCAUACGUCCUACGGGAGAAAGCGGGGGAUCUUCGGACCUCGCGCCAUUAGAUGAGCCUAGGUCGGAUUAGCUAGUUGGUGAGGUAAUGGCUCACCAAGGCGACGAUCCGUAACUGGUCUGAGAGGAUGAUCAGUCACACUGGAACUGAGACACGGUCCAGACUCCUACGGGAGGCAGCAGUGGGGAAUAUUGGACAAUGGGCGAAAGCCUGAUCCAGCCAUGCCGCGUGUGUGAAGAAGGUCUUCGGAUUGUAAAGCACUUUAAGUUGGGAGGAAGGGCAGUAACCUAAUACGUUAUUGUUUUGACGUUACCGACAGAAUAAGCACCGGCUAACUUCGUGCCAGCCGCCGC
rnacentral:rRNA from 1 species